AUUGAACGCUGGCGGCAUGCCUUACACAUGCAAGUCGAACGGCAGCACGGGUGCUUGCACCUGGUGGCGAGUGGCGAACGGGUGAGUAAUACAUCGGAACGUACCUUAUCGUGGGGGAUAACGCAGCGAAAGCUGUGCUAAUACCGCAUACGCCCUGAGGGGGAAAGCGGGGGAUCGAAAGACCUCGCGCGAUUAGAGCGGCCGAUGCCUGAUUAGCUUGUUGGUGGGGUAAAAGCCCACCAAGGCGACGAUCAGUAGCUGGUCUGAGAGGACGAUCAGCCACACUGGGACUGAGACACGGCCCAGACUCCUACGGGAGGCAGCAGUGGGGAAUUUUGGACAAUGGGGGCAACCCUGAUCCAGCAAUGCCGCGUGAGUGAAGAAGGCCUUCGGGUUGUAAAGCUCUUUUGUCAGGGAAGAAACACCGGCUCUAACACA
rnacentral:rRNA from 1 species